AGAGUUUGAUCCUGGCUCAGAGCGAACGCUGGCGGAAUGCUUAACACAUGCAAGUCGCACGCCCCGGCAACGGGGAGUGGCGGACGGGUGAGGAACGCGUAGGAACAUGUUCAGAGGCGGGGGACAACCCUGGGAAACCGGGGCUAAUACCGCAUACGGCCCGAGGGCCAAAGCCGCGAGGCGCCUUUGGAGUGGCCUGCGUCCGAUUAGCUAGUUGGUGGGGUAAGAGCUUACCAAGGCGACGAUCGGUAGCUGGUCUGAGAGGACGAUCAGCCACACUGGGACUGAGACACGGCCCAGACUCCUACGGGAGGCAGCAGUGGGGAAUUUUCCGCAAUGGGCGAAAGCCUGACGGAGCAAUACCGCGUGAGGGAAGAAGGCUCUUGGGUUGUAAACCUCUUUUCUCAGGGAAGAAUGAUGACGGUACCUGAGGAAUAAGCAUCGGCUAACUCCGUGCCAGCAGCCGCGGUAAUACGGAGGAUGCAAGCGUUAUCCGGAAUGAUUGGGCGUAAAGCGUCCGCAGGUGGCAAUGUAAGUCUGCUGUCAAAGCGUCUGGCUCAACCAGAUAAAGGCAGUGGAAACUACAUAGCUAGAGUAAGGUAGGGGUAGAGGGAAUUCCUGGUGUAGCGGUGAAAUGCGUAGAGAUCAGGAAGAACACCGGUGGCGAAAGCGCUCUGCUGGACCUUAACUGACACUGAGGGACGAAAGCUAGGGGAGCGAAUGGGAUUAGAUACCCCCGUAGUCC
rnacentral:rRNA from 1 species